CCUACGGGAGGCAGCAGUCGGGAAUAUUGCGCAAUGGAGGAAACUCUGACGCAGGGACGCCGCGUGCAGGAAGAAGGUUUUCGGAUUGUAAACUGCUUUAGACAGGGACGAAGAAAGUGACGGUACCUGAGGAAUAAGCCACGGCUAACUACGUGCCAGCAGCCGCGGUAAUACGUAGGUGGCAAGCGUUAUCCGGAUUUAUUGGGGGUAAAGGGCGUGUAGGCGGGAGCGCAAGUCAGAUGUGAAAACUCAGGGCUCAACCCUGAGCCUGCAUUUGAAACUGUGUUUCUUGAGUGCUGGAGAGGCAAUCGGAAUGCCGUGUGUAGCGGUGAAAUGCGUAGAUAUACGGAGGAACACCAGUGGCGAAGGCGGAUUGCUGGACAGUAACUGACGCUGAGGCGCGAAAGCGUGGGGAGCAAACAGGAUUAGAUACCCCAGUAGUC
rnacentral:rRNA from 1 species